AUGGUAUUUACGCAGCUAAUCAACGUCAUUGACAGGCGUCCUUAUGUGCAGCCACCGUUGUUGUCAUAGAUAUGAAUGAGUAGAUAGGACACGCCCCUUUGAGCUGCGUGCUACAGCGAGGCUAAGCUAGUGGGGGCAAAGUUUCAGUGCAUUCCGUUGAUGUAGACAGCGUGAAAACGGAAACAACAAGUAUGCCGGCUCACUGUGCUGCAUACAAUUACACACUACGUCAUACGAUUGAGACAAGGAAACUUGGAAUGACUUUUCAUAGGUCCCUCUCUAUCUCCCCACACAUCCACCAACCACUGGAACACAUCUCCAAAGUUCUGCUGGGCCAGCUCAGCUUCCCCUCAGAAGAAGUGGCGCCACCUGCCAGAUGAAGGAGCCUUUCGAGAGGCAGCUGGCAUCGUGAUUGGACUGUACUUUGGUCUGUUGCAAUCCAGCUUCAGCUCCAGAGACGGCAGGCGGGACGAGUCAACGGAGGCCGGAUGGACGAAGGCAUGCAGCUGAGUACAAUCCAGAAAACAACAGAGGAGGAGUGCAGGGCCAGAACAACCAGAGUAGCAUCGUAUGUCUCUUAAAAAACAUCAUAGUAUAGCUUUUGGUAUGAAAAAACGGCAUAAUAUACAUCAUAUAUUGUACAAAUAACAAGUCAAAGCAAAGAGACAUACAUUGUAGAAUUGCAGUAAUUGUGGGCUGACUGGCCUUGGCAAUGGUCGUCGGAAUGUGAAUAACACUGACCACACCUCACAGAGGUUAUAAGCUGAGGCAACAUCAACCACCACCAGAACUGAAGAAGCAUCUUGGAUGAGAGGUGAAACGUCUUCAAGGAACCUUCUUAAAGUCCAGUUGGAUUGAUUUAAACAACUUUGGAUGACUGAU
ensembl:lncRNA